CCAAAGGCUCUUCUCAGAGCCGCCACAUAUUCCCUUGGGAGCUGUUU
rfam:Xenopus tropicalis strain Nigerian Chr06_contig_53, whole genome shotgun sequence.